rnacentral:rRNA from 1 species
UACGGAGGGUGCAAGCGUUGUCCGGAAUUAUUGGGCGUAAAGAGCUCGUAGGCGGUCUGUCGCGUCUGCUGUGAAAACUCAGGGCUUAACCCUGAGCUUGCAGUGGGUACGGGCAGACUGGAGUACUGCAGGGGAGACUGGAAUUCCUGGUGUAGCGGUGGAAUGCGCAGAUAUCAGGAGGAACACCGGUGGCGAAGGCGGCUCUCUGGACCGAUACUGGACGCUGAGGCGCGAAAGCCGUGGGGAGCAAACAGG